UACGUAGGCAGCGAGCGUUGUUCGGAGUUACUGGGCGUAAAGCGUGCGUAGGCGGUGGUCCAAGUCUGGUGUGAAAUCUCCCGGCUUAACUGGGAGGGUGCGCCGGAAACUGGGCCGCUGGAGUACGGGAGAGGCAAGCGGAAUUCCAGGUGUAGCGGUGAAAUGCGUAGAUAUCUGGAGGAACACCCGUGGUGCAGACGGCUUGCUGGACCGCGACUGACGCUGAGGCACGAAAGCGUGGGUAGCAAACAGG
rnacentral:rRNA from 1 species